rnacentral:rRNA from 1 species
GACGAACGCUGGCGGCGUGCCUAAUACAUGCAAGUCGAGCGAGCGGAACUAACAGAUUUACUUCGGUAAUGACGUUAGGAAAGCGAGCGGCGGAUGGGUGAGUAACACGUGGGGAACCUGCCCCAUAGUCUGGGAUACCACUUGGAAACAGGUGCUAAUACCGGAUAAGAAAGCAGAUCGCAUGAUCAGCUUUUAAAAGGCGGCGUAAGCUGUCGCUAUGGGAUGGCCCCGCGGUGCAUUAGCUAGUUGGUAAGGUAAAGGCUUACCAAGGCGAUGAUGCAUAGCCGAGUUGAGAGACUGAUCGGCCACAUUGGGACUGAGACACGGCCCAAACUCCUACGGGAGGCAGCAGUAGGGAAUCUUCCACAAUGGACGCAAGUCUGAUGGAGCAACGCCGCGUGAGUGAAGAAGGUUUUCGGAUCGUAAAGCUCUGUUGUUGGUGAAGAAGGAUAGAGGUAGUAACUGGCCUUUAUUUGACGGUAAUCAACCAGAAAGUCACGGCUAACUACGUGCCAGCAGCCGCGGUAAUACGUAGGUGGCAAGCGUUGUCCGGAUUUAUUGGGCGUAAAGCGAGCGCAGGCGGAAGAAUAAGUCUGAUGUGAAAGCCCUCGGCUUAACCGAGGAACUGCAUCGGAAACUGUUUUUCUUGAGUGCAGAAGAGGAGAGUGGAACUCCAUGUGUAGCGGUGGAAUGCGUAGAUAUAUGGAAGAACACCAGUGGCGAAGGCGGCUCUCUGGUCUGCAACUGACGCUGAGGCUCGAAAGCAUGGGUAGCGAACAGGAUUAGAUACCCUGGUAGUCCAUGCCGUAAACGAUGAGUGCUAAGUGUUGGGAGGUUUCCGCCUCUCAGUGCUGCAGCUAACGCAUUAAGCACUCCGCCUGGGGAGUACGACCGCAAGGUUGAAACUCAAAGGAAUUGACGGGGGCCCGCACAAGCGGUGGAGCAUGUGGUUUAAUUCGAAGCAACGCGAAGAACCUUACCAGGUCUUGACAUCUAGUGUCAUUUGUAGAGAUACAAAGUUCCCUUCGGGGACGCUAAGACAGGUGGUGCAUGGCUGUCGUCAGCUCGUGUCGUGAGAUGUUGGGUUAAGUCCCGCAACGAGCGCAACCCUUGUUAUUAGUUGCCAGCAUUAAGUUGGGCACUCUAAUGAGACUGCCGGUGACAAACCGGAGGAAGGUGGGGAUGACGUCAAGUCAUCAUGCCCCUUAUGACCUGGGCUACACACGUGCUACAAUGGGCAGUACAACGAGAAGCGAGCCUGCGAAGGCAAGCGAAUCUCUGAAAGCUGUUCUCAGUUCGGACUGCAGUCUGCAACUCGACUGCACGAAGCUGGAAUCGCUAGUAAUCGCGGAUCAGCACGCCGCGGUGAAUACGUUCCCGGGCCUUGUACACACCGCCCGUCACACCAUGGGAGUCUGCAAUGCCCAAAGCCGGAGGCCUAACCUUCGGGAAGGAGCCGUCUAAGGCGG